rnacentral:rRNA from 1 species
GGUGAAAGUGGCGCACGGGUGAGUAACGCGUGGAUAAUCUGCCCGAGGAUUUGGGAUAACAUCUCGAAAGGGGUGCUAAUACCGAAUAAGCCCACGGGGUCUACGGAUCUUGCGGGAAAAGGGGGGGACCUUCGGGCCUCCUGUCCUUGGAUGAGUCUGCGUACCAUUAGCUAGUUGGUGGGGUAAUGGCCUACCAAGGCGACGAUGGUUAGCUGGUCUGAGAGGAUGAUCAGCCACACUGGAACUGAGACACGGUCCAGACUCCUACGGGAGGCAGCAGUGGGGAAUUUUGCGCAAUGGGGGAAACCCUGACGCAGCAACGCCGCGUGGGUGAUGAAGGCCUUCGGGUCGUAAAGCUCUGUCUGGAGGGAAGAAAUGAUUGGGAGCUAAUACCUCUUGAUCUUGACGGUACCUCUGAAGGAAGCACCGGCUAACUCCGUGCCAGCAGCCGCGGUAAUACGGAGGGUGCAAGCGUUGUU